rnacentral:tRNA from 1 species
GGGGGUGUGGUGCAGUGGCCGAGUACACGCUUAGCGUGUGCAAGGCCUGGGGUUCAACUCCCAGCACCUCCA